rnacentral:pre_miRNA from 1 species
UAACCUCCACAGGCCAGCUGGCCCCCAGGCUGGGCUGGGUGAGUAUCUCUCUGAAAGGCUCACCCUCAAGCAUGACUAGAAGC